UUUCUUUAUUUACUUGAAAGUCAGAGUUACACACAGAGAGAAGGAGAGGCAGAGAGAGAGAGAGGGAGAGAGGUCUUCCAUCUGCUUGUUCACACCCCAGAUGGCCACAAAGGCCAGACAGAGCUGCACCGAUAAGAAGCCAGGAGCCAGGAGCUUCUUCUGGGUCUCCCACGCGGGUGCAGGGGUGCAAGGACUUGGGCCAUCUUCUACUGCUUCCCCAGGCCAUAGCAGAGCUGGAUUGGAAGUGGAGCAGCCGGAACUCGAACCAGCGGCCUUAUGGGAUGCUGGCACUGCAGGUGACAGCUUUACCCGCUACACCACAGCGCCAGCCCCGGCCUGAUGGAUUUAAAAAUUCACCUCGCUUUUGCCGGAGCCUCCUGCUGCAUCUCAGGAAACUGUAGAAUACAAGGCACAAACCGUAAAACAGAGGCUCAAUGAAGUUUAUAUUAAACGGCACGGAGUACAACACUCAAAAGGAAUGACCCAGGUUUGACGUGCAGCUUCUCUCUCCAUCAGCCCAAUUGCAAGUAUUCGUACAACCACCGCCACAACUGUUCCUACUAUCACCCUGGCCAUGGCUGCUACGACUGCCCGAUGCGGAUCAGGGCUCACUCCCAAAUACUCACCACAUCUGGCACCCCCACGACCAGCAUCAGUCUGUAUUGACAUGCACAGACUGAGCAACAUUGCCGUUCACCCCCUCCCGUAACAGAGCCUGGAGACGGAAAGCAGGAAAUCAGAUGCCAGGACUCGUUCCUGGAGCUGGGUCCAGGUGGGUGAAUCUUGGCUGGGACCCUGAGCUGUAGGAGGUGCAGGUGGAGGAAGGGGCCUGGGGAGGGCUUUGGGCCCUUGUCCAUUUGUCCACUGCCAUGAAGACUGCAGCACCUGCCAGGCGCAUCUCCCAGCCCUCUGCUUUGUCACAUCCCAUGCUGCUGCAGGCUCUCCGCUGUGCAGGCCACCCAGACAUAAAUCUGUGGCUUCUGUGUGAGGAAGUCCUCUGGGUCUUCCUUGCCCUCCAGGGGCAUCUACAUUAUCUGCCUUCCAACGGGGCCUUCAGGAACAACCCCUCUCUACCUUCCUGGCCUCAAAUCCUGUCUGCCUCUGCACAAAGACACGAACAACAACCUCCAGCACACCGUGCUCUGUCCUCACAGGUUCAAGUCCCCUGCUGGUCCCGCUGGGAUGGCCUGUCUCUGGCUCCCAGAACAAGCCCUGCUCAUCUGAGCUUUACCAUCUCCCUCCCUCCAAGGCUAGGUGUUUGCUGCUUCCUGCAUCCUCCCAGAGCUCAUGGCACAGCCCUCUAGUGAUACACUCUCAUC